rnacentral:rRNA from 1 species
CUACGGGGCGCUCCAGUAAAGAAUCUUUCGCAAUGGGGGAAACCCUGACGAAGCAAUACCGCGUGAGCGAUGAAGGUCGUAAGAUCGUAAAGCUCUUUUCUGAGGGAAUAAUUCCGAAGGUACUUCAGGAAUAAGCACCGGCUAACUCCGUGCCAGCAGCCGCGGUAAUACGGAGGGUGCAAGCGUUAUCCGGAAUCAUUGGGCGUAAAGCUUACGCAGGUGGUUUGUUAAGUUGAGUAUUAAAUCUUGAAGCCCAACUUCAAGGCUGUGCUCAAAACUGGCAAACUAGAACACUUUAGAGGUGCAUGGAAUUCUGUGUGUAGGGGUAAAAUCCGUUGAUACACAGAGGAACACCAAAAGCGAAGGCAGUGCACUGGAAAGUUGUUGACACUCAUGUACGAAAGCGUGGGGAGCGAAAAGGAUUAGAUACCCUUGUAGUC